rnacentral:rRNA from 1 species
AGCAGCCCCCAUCUAAGUGUCCUGGAACGGACCGUCAUAGAGGGUGAGAAUCCCGUAUGGGAUGGGGUGUCUGCGCCCAUGUGAAACUCCUUCGACGAGUCGAGUUGUUUGGGAAUGCAGCUCUAAAUGGGUGGUAAAUUUCAUCUAAAGCUAAAUAUUGGCCGGAGACCGAUAGCGCACAAGUAGAGUGAUCGAAAGAUGAAAAGCACUUUGAAAAGAGAGUUAAAAAGCACGUGAAAUUGUUGAAAGGGAAGCGCUUGCGAUCAGACUCGCCUUGGGGGUUCAGCCGGCAUUCGUGCCGGUGUACUUCCCCCAGGGCGGGGCAGCGUCGGUUUGGGUGGCCGGUCAAAGGCCCUUGGAAUGUAACGCCUCUCGGGGCGUCUUAUAGCCAAGGGUGCCAUGCGGCCUACCUGGACCGAGGAACGCGCUUCGGCUCGGACGCUGGCAUAAUGGUCGUAAGCGACCCGUCUUG